AUCCCCUCUGUGGCAGAGAAUGAAGACGUGCUCCAGAGCGCUCCCUCUCUGUCCAAUGAGCUGCUUCUCGGCCUCUUCCACAGCUCGCUGCAGAAUGAACUGAGUGACCGGGAGAUUGCGUUGGCUGACAGAGAGCAUGUGACCUUCAUGCUUCAUAUCUUGGAGAGAGAGCGGGAUGGUCAUGUGGCCCCAUUCACUUUGCCUGUGAUUAAAGAAGAGAGGCAGGACACGGUAUUGUCAUUCCAUACCACUGGGAGCAAUAAGGAGGUGACCGGUUCCAGCAGUACUCUACAGAGUUUCAGUAAUGCAGAUCUGGUGGAUGAGGAGCCCGUGGUGACUGAGAGAGAGCAGAGCGCCCCCCAGUGGAAAUGCUACGCCAAGCUCAUCAGCCCCCAGCAGGUCCUGCUUGUGUUCCUGCCUGCAACCUUCUCUGAUGUUCAGAUUUUGAUGUCUUUUGGCAUGGGUACUGACCCGCAAGUCGAUGGCAACCAAUCACGGACCGCUUCCAUCAGCAGCUCAGCCAAUGGGCUUGAGGAGGUGGAGUCUGUGGUGGAAUCCAGUGGGGCUCUGCAUGGCGAAAUUGGUGAUGGCCAACCGGAAACGCCCUCAACAGAACGGGAGAGCGAGGACAAGCAGACCGCAGACCAGGCUAGCACAGAUACAGGUAGACUGUGUGCGCGUGUGUGCGUGACUGCAUGU
ensembl:lncRNA